UACGUAGGUGGCAAGCGUUGUCCGGAUUUACUGGGCGUAAAGAGCGCGCAGGCGGUCGGAUCAGUCGAAUGUGAAAGCCCCCGGCUCAACUGGGGAGGGUCAUUCGAUACUGUCCGACUCGAAGGCAGGAGAGGGAAGCGGAAUUCCCGGUGUAGUGGUGAAAUGCGUAGAUAUCAGGAGGAACACCGGUGGCGAAGGCGGCCCUCUGGACGGUGACUGACGCUGAGACGCGAAAGCGUGGGGAGCAAACAGG
rnacentral:rRNA from 1 species